GUGAUCAGUGGCGAACGGGUGAGUAACACGUGAGUAACCUGCCCCUGACUCUGGAAUAACCCCGGGAAACCGGAGCUAAUACCGGAUAUGACACCAAUCCGCAUGGGUAUGGUGUGGAAAGUUUUUUCGGUCUGGGAUGGACUCGCGGCCUAUCAGCUUGUUGGUGAGGUAAUGGCUCACCAAGGCGACGACGGGUAGCCGGCCUGAGAGGGCGACCGGCCACACUGGGACUGAGACACGGCCCAGACUCCUACGGGAGGCAGCAGUGGGGAAUAUUGCACAAUGGGCGAAAGCCUGAUGCAGCGACGCCGCGUGAGGGAUGACGGCCUUCGGGUUGUAAACCUCUUUCAGCAGGGAAGAAGCGCAAGUGACGGUACCUGCAGAAGAAGCACCGGCUAACUACGUGCCAGCAGCCGCGGUAAUACGUAGGGUGCGAGCGUUGUCCGGAAUUAUUGGGCGUAAAGAGCUUGUAGGCGGCUUGUCGCGUCUGCUGUGAAAAUCCGAGGCUCAACCUCGGACUUGCAGUGGGUACGGGCAGGCUAGAGUGUGGUAGGGGAGACUGGAAUUCCUGGUGUAGCGGUGAAAUGCGCAGAUAUCAGGAGGAACACCGAUGGCGAAGGCAGGUCUCUGGGCCACUACUG
rnacentral:rRNA from 1 species